rnacentral:rRNA from 1 species
UGGGGAAUAUUGGACAAUGGGGGAAACCCUGAUCCAGCGACGCCGCGUGUGUGAAGAAGGCCUGCGGGUUGUAAAGCACUUUUAGUGGGGACAAAAAGCCAGGGGCUAACACCAUCUGGUCUUGAUUUAACCCACAGAAAAAGCACCGGCUAACUCUGUGCCAGCAGCCGCGGUAAUACAGAGGGUGCAAGCGUUAAUCGGAAUUACUGGGCGUAAAGCGCGCGUAGACGGUUUUGUAAGUCAGAUGUGAAAUCCCCGGGCUCAACCUGGGAACUGCAUUUGAUACUGCUUGGCUAGAGUACGGUAGAGGGGAGUGGAAUUUCCGGUGUAGCGGUGAAAUGCGUAGAUAUCGGAAGGAACACCAGUGGCGAAAGCGACUUCCUGGACCAGUACUGACGUUCAUGUGCGAAAGCGUGGGGAGCAAACA